UGGGGAAUUUUGCACAAUGGGGGAAACCCUGAUGCAGCGACGCCGCGUGAUUUAGAAGGCCUUCGGGUUGUAAAAAUCUUUUCUAUGGGAAGAAAAUGACAGUACCAUAGGAAUAAGGACCGGCUAAUUACGUGCCAGCAGCCGCGGUAAUACGUAAGGUCCGAGCGUUGUCCGGAAUCAUUGGGCGUAAAGGGUACGUAGGCGGGUAAGCAAGUUAGAAGUGAAAUCAUAUACCUCAACUAUAGUAAGCUUUUAAACCUGCUCAUCUUGAGGAAUGGAAGGGAAAGUGGAAUUCAUAGUGUAGCGGUGAAGUGCACAGAUAUUAUGGGGAAUACCGCACGCGAAGGCGACUUUCUGGCCAUAACCUGACGCUAAGGUACGAAAGCAUGGGUAGCAAACAAG
rnacentral:rRNA from 1 species